GUCCGUUCGUGGACAGCCAAUACAAUUGACAUGACACGGAGAAGAUUAGCAUAAUCCUUGUGUAAGACACACAAAUCGAGUAAAUAGAAUAGAUUACC